AAAACUAGCUAAUAGCUAGUAUAAACUAAGCUGCUGCGAUUUAACGUUACAAGUCAUGUUACUGUCAAAAUAAUAAUGAACGCCUCUCAUUCGCUAAUAAAUCUGCACAGCGUCUCGCGUUGACCUUUUACGAGAGUAACGUUAGAGUUGCUUGCCAGGUAAAAACAAGAACAUGUGCGACAGCGCCGACACGGUUUACAGUGCACCAUCAAAUCUAAAAUCUGAAGUUUGGAAGACAUUUGGAUGUUACAAGAAGGAAGGAAAACUGGACAAAGUCUGGCCAUUUGCAAGGUACAACAACAAGGCAUGCCAUUAUAGUCCACCGACAGGAGUAUUUCUCAGAAUCUGAGGUCUUUCAACUGCCCCGCCAGAGACGGGCCUGAUAAGGCCCUCCCCGUCUUCGAGGUAUUCGCAAGGAUGUUCGGCAGCAGUGAAGAUUCA